AAGUCAAUAAAGAACCGUUAAAUAAAUAUAAAAAUGCAUUAGUGCAGAUUUUCCAUAUUUUAGUAUCUUUUUCAUUUGGCUACAAUGAGAAUUUUCAGAGUAAUUUUUAUUUGACGAUGAUUAAGAUCUGAAGGCAAACGUUAACCACUUAGGGAAUUUCCACCUGCAGUUUCUGCAUUGGCUUUUACGAGUAAUAAUGAGUUCUGAAGUCUAAUAGCUUACGUGUGGUGGAACACGUAGAACGGAAGACUCUAAAUACUGUGGAUCGUAAUUCUUAUUGUAACAGAAG